GGAUGACUCUUUCUCCAGUGUCAUGUUAUUCUCUGCCACAUGUAGAGACUCAAGAGAGCUGGGGUGCUAUACCAAGGGCUUCUUCUGGAGAUAACAUACUGAAGUACUGUUAAAGAUAAACAAAGACAUGGCCUAGAAAGUGGAAAGAGUUAUACCACACCACAAAUAAAACCACCACAAGUAAAGGAUACGGUCCAGCAA